GCGCACCAGGCGAGAAACCUCCGCAAUGCGGGAAACCGCGACGGGGAGACCCCGAGUGCCGUGGCAACGCCACGGCUUUUCCGGAGUGUAAAAGCUCCGGGAAUAAGGGCUGGGCAAGGCCGGUGGCAGCCGCCGCGGUAAUACCGGCGGCCCGAGUGGUGGCCGCUAUUAUUGGGCCUAAAGCGUCCGUAGCCGGGCCCGUAAGUCCCUGGCGGAAACCCCACGGCUCAACCGUGGGGCUUGCUGGGGAUACUGCGGGUCUUGGGACCGGGAGAGGCGGGGGGUACCCCUGGGGUAGGGGUGGAAAUCCUAUAAUCCCAGGGGGACCGCCAGUGGCGAAGGCGCCCCGCUGGAACGGGUCCGACGGUGAGGGACGAAGGCCAGGGGAGCAAACCGGAUUA
rnacentral:rRNA from 1 species